rnacentral:ncRNA from 1 species
GUGUUGCAUGAAAGGAGAGAAGGUUAGCACUGCCCUUGAUAAGGACGGAAGAGGUCCUAGUGGCCUUUACAACACAUAUAUGGUUAAGGUAUUGCCAUCUAAUCUGUGGCAUCUAACCAUAUUCU